CCGAAAGGGUGACGAAGCGACGCCGCGUGGGUGAGGAAGGCCUUCGGGUUGUAAAGCCCUGUCAGGAGUUAAGAAAUGUAGGUACGCUAAUAUCGUAUCUAUCUGACAAAGGCUCCAAAGGAAGCCACGGCUAACUCUGUGCCAGCAGCCGCGGUAAUACAGAGGUGGCAAGCGUUGUUCGGAAUUAUUGGGCGUAAAGAGCACGUAGGUGGAUUUGUAAGUCAGAUGUGAAAGCCUUCUGCUCAACGGGAGAAUUGCAUCUGAAACUACAGACCUUGAGUAUAGGAGGGGAGAAUGGAACUUCUGGUGGAGCGGUGAAAUGCGUAGAUAUCAGAAGGAACGCCGGCGGCGAAAGCGAUUCUCUGGCCUAUUACUGACACUCAGUGUGCGAA
rnacentral:rRNA from 1 species